ACCCCCCCCCCCCCCCAACUUGGUUGCUUCGCUACAUCGGCUAUUGCUGCAAGUAAUGACAGUGUGAAUAAAUUGUCAAUAUUUGCUUGAGAUAGUGCUUGCAGGGAGGGACUCUUAAUUUUUUGCGUCUCAUAGACUUAGCAUGGGGAUAAGCCACUGCCAGAAGGGACAGAAAGUUUCAUCUAUGCUGAUGAUCGUGCCAUUACUGCUCAAGCAGGGAGCUUUGAGAUGGUUGAACAGAAGCUCCGAAGCUCUAGGUCAGGGGUCCUCAAACUUUUUAAACAGAGGGCCAGGUCACGGUCCCUCAAACUGUUGGAGGGCCGGAUUAUAAUUUGAAAAAUCUAUAUAAAUAAAAAUGUAAUGUUCGUUUGUGGGAUUAACAUAACUCAAAAACCACUGGACGAAUUGACACCAAAUUUGGACACAAUACACCUAACAGGCCAACAAGUGACUAUCACUCAUAAAAACACUGAAAAACACAGUGGAAGAGACUUAAAAAGCAACCUCCCCCCAAAAAUACAUUAUAAUACAUGCGCAAAACCAUAUAUAUAUAUAUAUAUAUAUAUACACACACACACACACACAAAACAUAUACACAGAAAGGGGGAAAGAAGGAAGGAAAGAAAGAAAGAAGGAAAGAAAGAAGGGUAGAGAAGGAAGGAAGGAGAGAAGGAAAGAGGGAAAGAAGAAGGGAAGAAGGAGGAAAGGAAAGAAGGGUAGAGAAUGAAGGAAGGAGAGAAGGAAGGAGAGAAAGAGAGAGAAAGAGGGAAAGAAGAAGGGAAACAAGGAGGGAAGGAGAGAAAGAAGGAAAGAGAGAAGGGUAGAGAAGGAAGGAAGGAGAGAAGGAGGGAGAGAAAGAUAGGAAAAAAGGGAAAGAAGAAGGGGGAAAGGAGGGAAGGAGAGAAAUAAGGAAAGAAAGAAAGAAGGGUAGGGACUGAAGGAAGGAGAGAAGGAGGGAGAGAGGGAAAGAAGGAGGGAAGGAGAAAAGAAAAGAAAGGUAGAGAAGGAAGGAGAGAAGGAAAUAAAAAAGUGAAAGAGGGAAGGAAGGAAAGAA